rnacentral:rRNA from 1 species
ACUCCUACGGGAGGCAGCAGUGGGGAAUAUUGCACAAUGGGCGCAAGCCUGAUGCAGCCAUGCCGCGUGUGUGAAGAAGGCCUUCGGGUUGUAAAGCACUUUCAGUCGUGAGGAAGGUAGUGUAGUUAAUAGCUGCAUUAUUUGUACGUUAGCGACAGAAGAAGCACCGGCUAACUCCGUGCCAGCAGCCGCGGUAAUACGGAGGGUGCGAGCGUUAAUCGGAAUUACUGGGCGUAAAGCGCAUGCAGGUGGUUUGUUAAGUCAGAUGUGAAAGCCCGGGGCUCAACCUCGGAAUAGCAUUUGAAACUGGCAGACUAGAGUACUGUAGAGGGGGUUAGAAUUUCAGGUGUAGCGGUGAAAUGCGUAGAGAUCUGAAGGAAUACCGGUGGCGAAGGCGGCCCCCUGGACAGAUACUGACACUCAGAUGCGAAAGCGUGGGAGCAAACAGGAUU